GAAUCAUUUACUGAGCACUCGGAGGUUGAAAAACUCAUUGACGAACUGAGGACGUCAGCCCAACAUCAGACAAACCAAACGGAUAUUCGUUUAGUGGAGAGAAACUGGCAAAGGUUUUCGUUCAUUCUAGAUCAAUACCAAGAGCAACCACAUUUGAUCGAUUCACACCUCGAUGGACUACUCACUAAAAGCAUCAACAUCAUUCGAGAGGAAGUGCUGGAUUAUGAGGUGAAACAUGUGGCCUCUGAUGCCUCUACUUUAUAUCGAAAGUCAGGGGCUACAAAUUUGUAGCAAGACAUCUUCCUCAUGAGUCUGCCGAUCUGGAGCCUUUGCUACAUUACUUGGAAAACCAAGACCCUGGUGUGCAACUAAAAUGGGAGACUCAUUACGUUUUGCUUCUCUGGCUCAGCAUUGUAGUUAAAAUCCCAUUCCACCUUCAGCGAUUUGACACCAGUACUUCAGAGCCAAUCAUGGAAAGAAUUCUGAAUGUCUGUAAGAAAUACCUGGCUGGGACAACAAAAGCUCAGGACAUGGCCUUUUAUGUAUUGGCAAUCUAUCUUACAAGGCCUGAUGUCAAAGAUUCCUAUCUACCGGGAUUCAUCAAUUGGGCUCAUGAGGCUCUUACCAAAGAUGAGUGCUCAGUUCAAAAAAGGAGUUCUUUCAACGUUGGCCGGCGUAUUCAAACAUGGGCAAAGAGAACAAAUGAUGGAGCAUGCACAUGCUGUGCUGCGUACCAUCCUGACGAUUAAAUUCCAACCGUCAGAAUUGCUUAUACCUAGUUAAGAAACCGUUGGUGAAGCUGACGCAGCGAAUAGGUUUGAUAUUCUUGAAACCUCGAGUUGCCUCUUGGAGAUACCAGCGGGGCAGCAGAUCAUAAGCUGCCAAUCUGCAACAGAGCCAACCCGUUGAGACUAAAGCAGCUAUUUUGGUGAAUGAUGAAGAUGACCACGAUUACGACGUGCCGGAAGAAAUCAAAGAAGUACUUGACGAGAUCCUGCAAGCCCUCCGAGACAAGAACCGUGAAGUCCAGUACUCUGCAGCAAAAGGCAUUGGGCGGCUGACCAGUCGCUUAUCAAAGAACUUUGCCGACCAGGUAAUUGAAUCGAUCAUGGAACUUUUUUCACUCCGGGAGUCGGAUAUGGCCUGGCACGCAGGAUGUUUGGCUUUGGCCGAAUUAGCCCGUCGUGGAUUGCUGUUGCCCCAGCGAUUGUCUUCUGUCUUGCCUUUUGUGGAGCAGGCCAUGCUGUACGAUGAGUUAGGCGGAAACUUUUCCGUUGGCUCGGCUGUACGUGAUGCCGCUUGUUACCUCUGCUGGGCUCUUGCCCGAUCCUAAGACCCGUCUCUGCUCCAGCCAUUCGUCCAUCAGUUGGCUAAAGCCAUAGUCAUCACCUCCGUGUUCGAUCGUGAGGUCAACUGCUGACGGGCUGCCGCUUCUGCCUUCCAGGAACACGUCGGUCGACAGGUCACUUUUCCUCACGGCAUCGACAUUCUGACCACCUGCGAUUAGUUCGCUUACGUAAAAAUGCCUAUCUCCAACUCAGUCUUUUCUUGGCGCAAUACGAAGAGUACCGGCCGCAUCUCAUCCAGCAUUUAGUGGAUCGUAAAGUCAUCCAUUGGGACACGGUUAUUCGACAGCUAACAUCUCGGGCCUUGCAUCAAAUGACGUUCCUCGAUCCGGAGAGUAUGAAACUGAUUCUUUCUACUCAGAUCCUUCCUCGCUGCACAAAUCCUGAACUCUAUUUACGGCACGGAAGCAUUUUGGCCAGUGGCAAAGUCAUCAGCGCUCUUUGUCAAGUGGCAAAAGACCAUCAACGUCGUCUGCCAGAUGAACUUGGUCAGUUACCGCUGGUCAUUUCUUACUGA